rnacentral:rRNA from 1 species
AUUGAACGCUGGCGGCAGGCCUAACACAUGCAAGUCGAGCGGAGCGGAGGACGGGUGAGUAAUGCCUAGGAAUCUGCCUGGUCGUGGGGGAUAACGUCCGGAAACGGGCGCUAAUACCACAUGCUAUUAGAUGAGACUAGUUCGGAUUUGCUAGUUGGUGGGGUAAAGGCCUACCAAGGCGACGAUCCGUACCUGGGCUGAGAGGAUGAGCAGUCACACUGGAACUGAGACACGGUCCAGACUCCGACGGGAGGCAGCAGUGGGGAUUAUUGAACAAGGGGCGAAAGCCUGAGGCAGCCAUGCCGAGUGUGUGAAGAAGGUCUUCGGAUUGUAAAGCACUGUAAGUUGGGAGGCGUUACCAACAGAGUAAGCAACGGCUAACUCCGUGCCAGCAGCCGCGGUAAUAC